rnacentral:rRNA from 1 species
AGAGUUUGAUCCUGGCUCAGGACGAACGCUGGCGGCGUGCCUAACACAUGCAAGUCGAGCGGAGAAUGCCAGAUGUUUACAUCGAAGCGUUCUUAGCGGCGGACGGGUGAGUAACACGUGGGUAACCUGCCUCGAAGUGGGGGAUAGCCUUUCGAAAGGAAGAUUAAUACCGCAUAAGCUUGUAGCAUCGCAUGGUGCAGCAAGAAAAGGAGCAAUCCGCUUCGAGAUGGACCCGCGGCGCAUUAGCUAGUUGGUGAGGUAACGGCUCACCAAGGCCACGAUGCGUAGCCGACCUGAGAGGGUGAUCGGCCACAUUGGAACUGAGACACGGUCCAGACUCCUACGGGAGGCAGCAGUGGGGAAUAUUGCACAAUGGGCGAAAGCCUGAUGCAGCAACGCCGCGUGAGUGAUGAAGGCUUUCGAGUCGUAAAGCUCUUUGAUCAGGGAUGAUAAUGACAGUACCUGAAAAACAAGCCACGGCUAACUACGUGCCAGCAGCCGCGGUAAUACGUAGGUGGCGAGCGUUGUCCGGAAUUACUGGGCGUAAAGGAUGCGUAGGUGGAUAUUUAAGUGGGAUGUGAAAUCCCCGGGCUCAACCCGGGAACUGCAUUCCAAACUGGAUGUCUAGAGUGCAGGAGAGGAAAGCGGAAUUCCUAGUGUAGCGGUGAAAUGCGUAGAUAUUAGGAGGAACACCAGUGGC